rnacentral:tRNA from 2 species
ACCUGGCUAUCUCAGUUGGUAGAGCAUGAGACUCCCAAUCUCGAGGUUGUGGGUUCGAGCCCCACAUUGGGUG